rnacentral:lncRNA from 1 species
AUGGAGUCUCGCUCUGUCACCCAGGCUGGAGUGCAGUGGUGCGAUCUUGGCUUACUGCUCCGCCUCCCGGGUUCGCGCCAUUCUCCUGCCUCAGCCUCUGAAGUAGCUGGGACUACAAGUGCCCACCACAAUGCCUGGCUAACUUUUGUAUUUUUAGUAGAGAUGGGGUUUCACCAUGUUAGCCAGGACGGUCUCGAUCUCCUGACCUCGUGAUCUGCCCGCCUCAGCCUCCCAAAGUGCUGGGACUACAGGCGUGAGCCACCGCGCCCGGCCUAGGUUUAUAAUCCUUAGUGAUUCUCUCUGAUUUCUGGGACACUGACCAGCCCAAUAAGAAAGAUCUAUAGAUACUGUCAGUGGAUAGCUCCCUAAGUUAAUGCCCACUCUGGUCUGGUCACUCAACAAUGAAGCCCAGUAAUAGAAAGGUGUUCUAUUUCUUGCAUACAUACGUGUAUACACAUUUGCACAUUCACUUAGUUUAAUGUCAACUAGUAGUGCCUCACUUUGAGUAUGGAUGGGUAGUAAAUCAUUAACAAAUUGAGGAAAUCAUCUAACAUAACAGACAAAGGCCAAAACAAACAGAAAAAAGUACUUGUAGGAAACAGAGAUAAUGUAAGAAGAAAAUUCAAACAAGUAACUAUAAUUAGUAUUCCUGGAAACUAUGUGAAGAUUAGUGUUAAUGAAACAAAAACAGAAUGCACAUAAAAAGAGAACCUUUAGAGAAAUAAGGAGCCUCUAGAAAUUAAAAAUAAGGUGGCAGAAAUGUAUGGGUCACAUUUUCUGAAGAUAGUUAAUAUAUGCAAGAGGAGAGAUCUCUUAUUUCCAUCCCUAAGAGACUGACCAAAUAUGUCACUGAAAGUAAUCGCAAAAACCAAAAUUACUUUUGCACCGAACUAAUAGAAAUUUAAAAACAGCCAUGUAUUAAUAAGGAAAUUAAAAUAAUUAAAAAUGAAUGGAAAAUCUCUGAGAUCCACUAUAACCAUCUUCAGAAGAAAAUUUAAUAUUUGAAGUGAAUUUAUUUAAUGCAUUUACCAAAUUUGUUUUAUUUUUCUUCCUGGCUUGUGGAUAAACUACACUACCUGCAGAUAGUUGGGACCAUGUGACUAAAUUCUGUCCAAUGGAAUGUGGGCAGAAGUAACUAUGCUACUUCCAGGCCUGACCUCUGAAAUGCCCAUUCUCUAGAAGUUCUGCUUUCAGUCUCAGAUUUUCUCCCCCAUUGGCUGGUCAAAUAAAGGGACUCAAUCUAGGUGCAUCACAAAUCUCCAGUAAACAUUACCCAUGCUUUUCUGCUACUGCCGAGCCUGUUCUCUCUUUCCAAGGGUGAAGGGAAGGUAUCAUUUAUCCCUAGUUAUCCAGUGUUUUAAAAUCCAGGCUGAUGGGAUACCUAAGAGCUUACUUAGCAUGAAUCAAACAACAUAUUUGAAGUUCUUAACUCAGUGAUACAAUAGUUUGGAAAAGUUCCUUUACUACAAGCCUGACACCUGUGUAUGUUCGGGGUGGGGUGAGAGAGGGAGAGAGAGAGAUAGAGAGCACAAAAGAGAGAGAGACACUAUUUGAGAGGUUGAAAAAAUGCAUUCAUUUAUUUGUUUGUUCAUUCAUGUAUAUAUUCAGCAAAUACUUUUUAAGCAUCUAUCUAUCUAAUGCACUAUCCUGGGCACUGGAAACGACAAAGUAAAUACAUAAAAUAAUCAAAACAUAGAUUGUGGUUUGUUCGUGAUUAGUAUUAGAAAGAAACCACCAAGGACAAUCUUCUUUAGGAAGAAUAUCAGGGAGACCUCUCUAUGUCACAAAGGAGUAGAACUUGAGAGUCCCACAAAAAAUUCAGCCAGCUUAUAAAAGGCCUUGCAGACCACAUGGUGAAAUUUGGCUUUUAUUUUAAGUUUUUAAGCCUUAAAAAGAUCCUUUGGGCUAUUCAGUGAAGAAUGGAUUAAGUGAUAAUAAGUAACUGGUAAUAAAUCCUGGUGAGGAGACCAGGUGAUUUAUGAGAAAAUAUUUUUAAAAUUCAUUAAAUAUUGCAAUGUCAUUUAAGGAAUUCUUCCUAUCCAUGGUCUUUUGGUAAAAUAAUUUUCAAUCCCCAGCUUGACAACAAUGAUCUUGUUACGAUCUGUCUGCAAAAGUCCUGCUUUCUGGGUGACUGCAUUGUUUGUGGUGGAGAAAAACAUUUUAUUUUUAAGAAAUAUUAUUUAAACAUGUCUGAUUAUUUUAAAUGGCAAGACAUCCUUGGAUUUA